rnacentral:rRNA from 1 species
GGGUAGUUUGACUGGGGCGGUCUCCUCCUAAAGAGUAACGGAGGAGCACGAAGGUUGGCUAAUCCUGGUCGGACAUCAGGAGGUUAGUGCAAUGGCAUAAGCCAGCUUGACUGCGAGCGUGACGGCGCGAGCAGGUGCGAAAGCAGGUCAUAGUGAUCCGGUGGUUCUGAAUGGAAGGGCCAUCGCUCAACGGAUAAAAGGUACUCCGGGGAUAACAGGCUGAUACCGCCCAAGAGUUCAUAUCGACGGCGGUGUUUGGCACCUCGAUGUCGGCUCAUCACAUCCUGGGGCUGAAGUAGGUCCCAAGGGUAUGGCUGUUCGCCAUUUAAAGUGGUACGCGAGCUGGGUUUAGAACGUCGUGAGACAGUUCGGUCCCUAUCUGCCGUGGGCGCUGGAAGAUUGAGGGGGGCUGCUCCUAGUACGAGAGGACCGGAGUGGACGCAUCACUGGUGUU